UGUCAUAUCAGGCAAUAUAAAUAAUUUCUGGGCAAUAUUCAGAAGGACUGCAAGCUGUUUUUAGGACUGGCUAAAACUUAUUUACAAUACCCUGUUCAC
rnacentral:pre_miRNA from 17 species